AAAAAAGCCAAUCAGGGGCGUGACAUAGAAUGUGACAACAACAUGGAUCCUGUAGGAAUACACUGUAAGAACGCCGAUGAAUUUGCCGAUAAUUCGAGCGAUGAACAUUAUUCUGAAGUGUCCUACGAAGACGACAAAGUUGCUGGCGAUGAAGCCGACACAGCAGUCAGGCCCAUCGUGGAGGAUUUGGAUCAUGUUGGAAAUAUCAACUGGUGAGCAGCCCAUCCAGUCCGCCCAAUAAAUGAGUCAUUUUGCAGCCACUUCAUUUAGAUCUUCUGGAGGGAUCCCGAGGCAUUCCCAGGGCAGCCGCGAGACAUAAUCUCUACAGUUUGUCCUGGGUCAACUCCAGGGUGUCUUUCCGGUGGGACAUGCAUGAAACGUCUCACCAGGGAGGCGUCUAGGAGGCAUCCGGAUCAGAUGCCCCUGCCACCACAUCUGGCUCCUCUUAAUGCGCAGGAGCAGAUCCAAUCUGAGCUCCUCCCGCAUAAACGAAACCCGGACACCCUGAGGAGGAAACUCAUUUCAGCUGCUUGUAUCCGGGAUCAACAUCUUUCGGUCACGACCAACAGCUUGUGACCAUUGUUGAGGGUAGGGAUGUAGAUUGACUGGUAAAUUGAGAGCUUCACCUUCCGGCUUAGAUCCAUCCUUACCACAACAAAUCGAUAAAAAAAUCCGCAUCACUGCAGAUGCUGCACUGAUCCACCUGUCGAUCUCAGCUGUUCACUUCUUGAAUAGAAAGGAUAUAUGUCGAUAUAGCUCUGGAUACCAGUGAACCACAGGGAGAGCCAUUGUCCUCAAAUGGAGAAAACAUGGAACACUGGUAAACCUUAGCAGGACCGGCCAGACUACCAAGAUGACUCCAAGACAGCAGUAAUGACUCAUCCAGGAGCCCACAAUGGAACUCAGGACAACAUCUAAAGGACUGCAGGCUGGCAGGCGAAAAUCGCUGCUGACCAAAAAGAGAGCAGCU